GACAGCGUGUCCGAGUGGUUAAGGAGGUGGAGUCGAAAUCCUCUAGGCUCAGCCUGCGCCGGCUCGUCGAAUCCUGCCGCUGUCG